CAGAUACUGAUGUAAGGUAUCGAAUGGCGUUUCCAAUGGAGAAUUACCAGCAGGACGUUUUCGAAAUGCCAAAAGGUGAACUUUCGAAACAGUUUGAAGUUAUUGACAUGGAGGAUAAUUCUGUGAAGAAAUUCACUUGUUCCAAGCGCAGCAAAGGCCAUCCUAAACCUGUGUUCUGCAAGGGUUGGAUUGGUUUCGUCAAAGAAAAGCAACUUUUAGAAGGUGAUGAAGUGAUCUUUUAUAAGGAGGAAGAUGGAACUGGCAGAUUUACAAUCAAAAUCCAGGCCCGAAAAAUUCCAUGCAUGGUGCUUGGUCAGGAUUUCAGGGGUUUUAUUCGAACUUCAACAUAUUGUAGGCAGCAGUAAGUAAUACAAGGUACAUGUUCAAAAAUUAUUUCUCAAGAAAUGCUUCUUGUUGUGUGAAGAAUAUGGUAUAAGCCGUCGGAGAGCUUUGCUCUUGUUGCUGACCUAAGUUUUUAUUAGUUCAGAGCGUUGAUUUUCCUUGCGUUGGGUUUGUAGGCUAGCGAAUCGAGCUGCCCAUGCUCUUGUAAUUAAUGCGAGUCCUUGUCUUUGGAUUGAGCCUUCUCAUUCCUUGAAUGUUGUAUUGAUCGAAG
rnacentral:misc_RNA from 1 species